AUACAUGCAAGUCGAGCGAAUGACGAGGAGCUUGCUCCUCUGAUUUAGCGGCGGACGGGUGAGUAACACGUGGGUAACCUGCCUGUAAGACGGGGAUAACUCCGGGAAACCGGAGCUAAUACCGGAUGAUAACGAGAAGCGCCUGCUUCUUUUUUGAAAGUCGGUUUCGGCUGACGCUUACAGAUGGGCCCGCGGCGCAUUAGCUAGUUGGUGAGGUAACGGCUCACCAAGGCGACGAUGCGUAGCCGACCUGAGAGGGUGAUCGGCCACACUGGGACUGAGACACGGCCCAGACUCCUACGGGAGGCAGCAGUAGGGAAUCUUCGGCAAUGGACGAAAGUCUGACCGAGCAACGCCGCGUGAGCGAUGAAGGCCUUCGGGUCGUAAAGCUCUGUUGUCAGAGAAGAACAAGUACCGGAGUAACUGCCGGUACCUUGACGGUACCUGACCAGAAAGCCACGGCUAACUACGUGCCAGCAGCCGCGGUAAUACGUAGGUGGCAAGCGUUAUCCGGAAUUAUUGGGCGUAAAGCGCGCGCAGGCGGUCUUUUAAGUCUGAUGUGAAAGCCCACGGCUCAACCGUGGAGGGUCAUUGGAAACUGGGGGACUUGAGUGCAGGAGAGAAAAGUGGAAUUCCACGUGUAGCGGUGAAAUGCGUAGAGAUGUGGAGGAACACCAGUGGCGAAGGCGGUUUUUUGGCCUGUAACUGACGCUGAGGCGCGAAAGCCUGGGAGAGCA
rnacentral:rRNA from 1 species